AUCAUAUUUAUGAUAGGACUGAGGGUGACUUUGAUUUGGGCGGGAAACUGGUCGAGUGGGUGGGCGAGCGAGAGCAUUGCAUAUUUGUAUAUCUGCGUGGAGAUGAAGUUGCGUUGGUGUGCAAAUAUUUGCACUGCUGCAGCCACAGAGUUUAACGGACAGCCUGGCAGUAACAAAGGAAGUGCAGCCGGAAACAUGUAACAACAACGUUGGACCAUAAAAUAAGGAAGUCAAACUAAAAACUGGGCGGACAACGGCUAAUGAAAAAAAACUUCAGUGAAGCAGGAAAAAACUAAAUACACUUUAGGAGCGCUAAAAGGACACAAAAAAAUGCAGACACAUGUAAACUUCAUUUUAGGUCGUAGAUUACGGAUCUGUAUACCGUUUUUCUAGAUCAGGUAAUUUUCCAAAGAUAUGUAUUCUCGUUUUAAGUUUG